UCUCAUCUUCUUUCCCUAAACACCAUCUCGUUUUCCUUCGAUUUCCAAACCCUCGACUUUUCAAAAUAUAUUUGACACAAACCUUUGUUGUUCUCAAGUCUGACAACUAUUCUAUUUAUGGAACAUGAAUUGCUUUGAGAUGAAUUUUAUCUGUUACAAUUGUUUUCGGAGAAGCUCAAAUUCGGAAAUACGAAGAUCAUUCAGAUGUAGUAGUCAAUCGAUAUCUUGAUCGGCGGAUUCAGUAUUGGGUUUUGGUUUAUUGGCCCGAUCCUUGUCAAUACAAUUAAUUUGUGUAUACAAAAUUGCUAUAAUCGAGAUGAAGAACAUAUACCAAGUAAUCGUAAUGAUAUCACAUAUCAUGUAUCUCAGUA